rnacentral:lncRNA from 1 species
GCUUCACUGAUCCUAUUUGGUCACGAUCUCAUCAUUGGUUCCUCUUCAAGUUUCCCCCAAACUUUUCUUUGAUUGUGGCCUUCCUUGGAUCAUAUCAUUCCCUUCAUCUUUGAAAGAAUUCAUCCUCAAAUCUGUACAUGCAUCAAAUAGAGCAAGAUAAGAAAUAUUGAAAAGAAUGUAAAUUAUCAGAAACUUGCCUUAAAGAUCCAAGGUGAGUUGACCUUGACCUUCUUUGCAUUUGAAGACACCAUUUUUGCCUAAGCACCCA